GGGUCCGCACGCGCGCGCUACACUGAAGGGGACAGCGAGUUUUUCCUGGUUCGAAAGAACCGGGUAAUCUGUUGAAUUCCCUUCGUGACAGGGAUCGGGGCUUGCAAUUAUUCCCCGUGAACGAGGAAUUCCCAGUAAGCGCAAGUCAUCAGCUUGCGUUGAUUACGUCCCUGCCCUUUGUACACACCGCCCCGUCGCUACUACCGAUUGAAUGGUUUAGCAAGGUCCUCGAUUGGUGCCCGACUUGGGUGGCAACACUAGGUCGGAUACUGAAAAGAAGAUCAAACUUGAUCAUUUAGAGGAAGUAAAAGUCGUAACAAGGUUUCCGUAGGUGAACCUGCGGAAGGAUCAUUA
rnacentral:ncRNA from 1 species